rnacentral:rRNA from 1 species
CAAUAGCGUAUAUUAAAGUUGUUGCAGUUAAAAAGCUCGUAGUUGGAUUUCUGGUGGGAGCGAUCGGUCUGGCGCUUAGCGCGAGUACUUGCAUCGUCUCCGGCCAUCCUUGGGGAGAGUCUGUCUGGCAUUAAGUUGUCGGGCAGAGGAUCCUCAUCGUUUACUGUGAAAAAAUUAGAGUGUUCAAAGCAGGCUUAUGCCGUUGAAUAUAUUAGCAUGGAAUGAUAAGAUAGGACUUUGGUACUAUUUUGUUGGUUUGCGCACCAAAGUAAUGAUUAAUAGGGACAGUUGGGGGUAUUCGUAUUCCGUUGUCAGAGGUGAAAUUCUUGGAUUUACGGAAGACGAACUACUGCGAAAGCAUUUACCAAGGAUGUUUUCAUUAA